AAAACGACUCUCGGCAACGGAUAUCUUGGCUCUCGCAUCGAUGAAGAACGUAGCGAAAUGCGAUACUUGGUGUGAAUUGCAGAAUCCCGUGAACCAUCGAGUCUUUGAACGCAAGUUGCGCCCUAAGCCUUCUGGCCGAGGGCACGUCUGCCUGGGUGUCACAAA
rnacentral:rRNA from 2 species